ensembl:snoRNA SNORA73 Small nucleolar RNA SNORA73 family
CCAAAGUAGAUAUCCCCAGGAGGUAACUUUCCCUGGCUUUGUCCAAGUGGCACAGGGCAGCAUGGGGCUCCAUCCCAUGGUAUUCACAAUCACUUUCCAUGAUAGAGAAGCUGGGCCUGGAGACUGCACUGAAACAUUCCUACAACCUCUCAAGAGUCCUGUGGACAGGGAUGAGGAGACAAACUAGGUAGGAAACAGUU